AGAGUUUGAUCCUGGCUCAGGACGAACGCUGGCGGCGUGCUUAACACAUGCAAGUCGAGCGAUGAAGCUUUCUUCGGAAAGUGGAUUAGCGGCGGACGGGUGAGUAACACGUGGGUAACCUGCCUCAUAGAGGGGAAUAGCCUUUCGAAAGGAAGAUUAAUACCGCAUAAGAUUGUAAUACCGCAUGGUAUAGCAAUUAAAGGAGUAAUCCGCUAUGAGAUGGACCCGCGUCGCAUUAGCUAGUUGAUGAGGUAACGGCUCACCAAGGCGACGAUGCGUAGCCGACCUGAGAGGGUGAUCGGCCACAUUGGGACUGAGACACGGCCCAGACUCCUACGGGAGGCAGCAGUGGGGAAUAUUGCACAAUGGGGGAAACCCUGAUGCAGCAACGCCGCGUGAGUGAUGACGGUCUUCGGAUUGUAAAGCUCUGUCUUUAGGGACGAUAAUGACGGUACCUAAGGAGGAAGCCACGGCUAACUACGUGCCAGCAGCCGCGGUAAUACGUAGGUGGCAAGCGUUGUCCGGAUUUACUGGGCGUAAAGGGAGCGUAGGUGGAUAUUUAAGUGGGAUGUGAAAUACCCGGGCUUAACCUGGGUGCUGCAUUCCAAACUGGAUAUCUAGAGUGCAGGAGAGGAAAGGAGAAUUCCUAGUGUAGCGGUGAAAUGCGUAGAGAUUAGGAAGAAUACCAGUGGCGAAGGCGCCUUUCUGGACUGUAACUGACACUGAGGGCUCGAAAGCGUGGGGAGCAAACAGGAUUAAAUACCCUGGUAGUCCACGCCUAAACGAUGAAUACUAGGUGUGGGGGGUGGCCUGACUUCCCGGGCCGCGCUAACGCAUUAAGUAUUCCGCCUGGGAAGUACGGGCCCAAAAUUAAAAUCAAAGGGAUUGACGGGGGCCCGCACAACCCGCGGAGCAUGUGGUUUAAUUCCAAACCACCCGAAAAACCUUACCCUAACUUUGAUCCCUCUG
rnacentral:rRNA from 1 species